GCACCGCGGCGCGGCCGUCCACCGACCCUCCUUCUCGCCCGCGCGGGCGGGGCGUAGGAGGGAGCUGGGCCUCGGGGCGCCGUUACCCCCUCUUCGCUCCGGGAAGCCCGGGACCGCGACGCCCGAAGACCCCGGUGGCAGCCGGAUGCGCUUCCAUGGCAGACGCCGAGUGUCUGAGGAGAGGGGGUGAGCACGGAGACACGCAGCGGCCACAAGGCCCAGGUUGUCGCCCGCCCGAGGAUCCCAGGGCCCCCAGGGACGCCAGAUGUCAACGACUCCCGGCGGCUGCCGCAGCGGCUUCUCGGCCCCUGGCCCCCUCCCUCUGCCGCAGCUCAUCACCAAGCGCCCCCUCCGCUCGCCUCCGCCAGGACGCGAGGGCUUCUGGGAGGUGUAGUAGGAAGCCCGGCGGAGGCUGGAGUGAGCUGUCCUGCUAGGACUACAACUCCCAGAAAGCAUCGCAACCAGGCUUCGCUUCCCUCUCCAGCAGGCUCCUCCGCCCUGGGUCUUUCUCCGGCCGCCACCUCUGUCUGCGAACUGCGAGCGGGUGUUCUCGGAAUCCGAGUGCUUGGCUGCCCGCUCCUGCGCUGUCCUGGGGCGCCUGAGGGACUUCAGUCAUUACUCCACGGACUAAGUCGUUUGUUUUAAGUUUGCAGAGGGAGGAAAGGGUAGGCGACUGCCUGAAAAACUGGUUGCACUUGAACCCAGCCUUAUUGCGAAGAUUGGAUACUUCGGACGUUAGAGGAAGCACUCUGGUCUCUGGAGGGAGGGAACGGAGUCAGCUUCCCCCAGCAACAGAUGUUGUGUUCUGUUUUUCAUAGGUAAUGUAUUUCAGAAAUUCCCUGCGGGUGACUUAGGAUAUCUGCUGUACCCUAAUUCACCUGCCUGAGUUGGAAGUUUGAUUCUUCUGAAACCAAGUGACUUAUGACCCACAGCUGAAGGCUGCCGCGCUGAAUUGAACAUAUUUGUAUGAAAACACUUUAAUAACCUCAAACACACUACUUAAAACCUUUCUACUCUGCCACAAAUUUCUGUUCCCUCUCUUCUAUUUCCAAAAGCAAAGUCUAAGCAGCAAUCCCUAAAUUUAAUAAGAAUAUCGUAGACAUUUAUGGCUGACUUAUUUUGUGAGCUGGGUUCUGUAAGGAGCAGCAUUGUGAACAAAUACUGUAUAUGAAAAUACAUUAAAGGAUGAUUAUUUGUUUUGCAAAUAAUCUAAUAUAGAAUUACUGUGAAGAAUGAACCCAGUACAGUUAAGUGGUAGUUGGUGGGG
rnacentral:lncRNA from 1 species